UGAGGAAUAUUGGUCAAUGGACGAGAGUCUGAACCAGCCAAGUAGCGUGAAGGAUGACUGCCCUAUGGGUUGUAAACUUCUUUUAUACGGGAAUAAAGUUAGGCACGUGUGCCUUUUUGUAUGUACCGUAUGAAUAAGGAUCGGCUAACUCCGUGCCAGCAGCCGCGGUAAUACGGGGGAUCCGAGCGUUAUCCGGAUUUAUUGGGUUUAAAGGGUGCGUAGAUGGGUUGUUAAGUCAGUUGUGAAAGUUUGCGGCUCAACCGUAAAAUUGCAGUUGAUACUGGAUGUCUUGAGUGCAGUUGAGGCAGGCGGAAUUCGUGGUGUAGCGGUGAAAUGCUUAGAUAUCACGAAGAACUCCGAUUGCGAAGGCAGCCUGCUAAGCUGCAACUGACAUUGAGGCUCGAAAGUGUGGGUAUCAAACAGGAUUAGAUACCCUGGUAGUCCACACGGUAAACGAUGAAUACUCGCUGUUUGCGAUAUACGGCAAGCGGCCAAGCGAAAGCGUUAAGUAUUCCACCUGGGGAGUACGCCGGCAACGGUGAAACUCAAAGGAAUUGACGGGGGCCCGCACAAGCGGAGGAACAUGUGGUUUAAUUCGAUGAUACGCGAGGAACCUUACCCGGGCUUAAAUUGCACUCGAAUGAUCCGGAAACGGUUCAGCUAGCAAUAGCGAGUGUGAAGGUGCUGCAUGGUUGUCGUCAGCUCGUGCCGUGAGGUGUCGGCUUAAGUGCCAUAACGAGCGCAACCCUUGUUGUCAGUUACUAACAGGUGAUGCUGAGGACUCUGACAAGACUGCCAUCGUAAGAUGUGAGGAAGGUGGGGAUGACGUCAAAUCAGCACGGCCCUUACGUCCGGGGCUACACACGUGUUACAAUGGGGGGUACAGAGGGCCGCUACCACGCGAGUGGAUGCCAAUCCCUAAAACCCCUCUCAGUUCGGACUGGAGUCUGCAACCCGACUCCACGAAGCUGGAUUCGCUAGUAAUCGCGCAUCAGCCACGGCGCGGUGAAUACGUUCCC
rnacentral:rRNA from 1 species